rnacentral:rRNA from 1 species
UGGUGAGAUAACAGCUCACCAAGGCGACGAUGGGUAGCCGGCCUGAGAGGGCGGACGGCCACACUGGGACUGAGACACGGCCCAGACUCCUACGGGAGGCAGCAGUGGGGAAUAUUGCGCAAUGGGGGCAACCCUGACACAGCAACGCCGCGUGAAUGAAGAAGGUCUUCGGAUCGUAAAGUUCUGUCGAAGGGGAAGAAAUAAAUGACGGUACCCUUAGAGGAAGCCCCGGCUAACUACGUGCCAGCAGCCGCGGUAAUACGUAGGGGGCAAGCGUUGUCCGGAUUUACUGGGCGUAAAGGGCGUGUAGGCGGUUUUUUAAGUCAGAUGUGAAAGUUCGGGGCUCAACCCCGGAAUUGCAUUUGAAACUGGAGAACUUGAGUACUGGAGAGGUAAGUGGAAUUCCUAGUGUAGCGGUGAAAUGCGUAGAUAUUAGGAGGAACACCAGUGGCGAAGGCGACUUACUGGACAGAUACUGACGCUGAGGCGCGAAAGCGUGGGGAGCGAACAGGAUUAGAU